CAGUGAAGAGGGGGGCUCACACAGACCGGUGGAAAAAGACUCACUUCAGUAAAAUGGCAAGUUUGUCUCUGUUCCAGCAGAAAUGCACAUGGACAAAAUCCUGAGGCUGGAGCCAAGACUCAACUUUGGCUCUAAUCACUGCUCCUCUGACCUGUCCUCAAAGCUUCACCUCCUCACCUUGUUGUGCAGGAUUGCCAGCUGACUGGGGGCAUUUUGUAUUCUGCAAUGCUUCCUGGGGAUCAAUCAGGUACCUCCAUGGCUGACCUCGGACCCUACUCUUUUGACCACCAGUACCUGCUGAAAGUUGCUGGAAUCCUCCUAAACUAAUAUCAGGACCAACUACCCUGUUCUCAGCUUCUGCCACUUCUCUGCUGUGGUUUGGGAAGAACCCUGGAUUUCUGACCUGGGUUUGGAUCUUAGUCCCCUGAACUCAUGAUCUGCCUCUUUCCCCCCCUGGGUUCUAUGCCAUUUCUGACGCAGUCUCAUUCUGUUAACCCCUUGUGAUCCCUGCCUGCUCUUGUUCCCAAGUUCAUGCAAACUUCAGGGUUCCAUUCACCUUCCAGGACUACUGUGACUAGCUUUACCUGAAGAUGAAGUGCAUGACUCUUUUCCUUCUGUUUCCUGAGUUCUGAGUCUAGGAUCACCUUGUGAAAUUUACCAAUAAAGUUUCAGUCCAAACAGA